UAUAAUAUACAAUUAUAAUAGUGUAUUAUUAUACUUUAUUACAUUAUAUUAUCAAUAUUAUAUGUAUAUUCAAUAUAUUAUAUUAUUACUAUGCUAAAAAUAUUACUAUGCUAAUGCUAUUAGGAGCACUAGACAAGCUUGUCACACCCAGAAUUGUAGUAAAAGGUUGCUGGUUCUUGGGAAUAUGCUUAUUUUAGCACCUAUAGAAAGGGCUGACUGCAUUUUUGCACAUAUCUAUCUAUCUAUUUGCACUAUAUAUCUAUAUAUGGAGACUGCUUUUGAUGCAGUCAGGUAUAUUUAUAUAGAUAUCUAGAUAUAUCUACGUAUAUAAAACUACAGUAGAGUCUCACUUAUCCAACACUCGCUUAUCCAACGUUCUGGUUUAUCCAACGCAUUUUUGUAGUCAAUGUUUUCAAUAUAUCGUAAUAUUUUGGUGCUAAAUUCAUAAAUACAGUAAUUACUACAUAGCAUUACUGCAUAUUGAACUACUUUUUCUGCCAAAUUUGUUGUCUAACAUGAUGUUUUGGUGCUUCAUUUGUAAAAUCAUAGCCUAAUUUGAUGUUUAAUAGGCUUUUCCUUAAUGCCUCCUUAUUAUCCAACAUAUUCGCUUAUCCAACAUUCUGCCGGCCCGUUUAUGUUGGAUAAGUGAGACUCUACUGUAUAUCAAACUUACUGUAUAUAGAUAUAUGUGUAUACACUAUAUAUCUAUAUAUAGAGAGACUGCUUUUGAUAAAAUCAUGUAUCUCUAUAGCUAUAUAUAUAGAUAUCUAGAUAUAUCUAUAUCAAACUAUAAAAUAUACUAUAUAUAGAUAUAUGUAUAUAUACACUAAAUGAGGAUUUGUGGUCUGCUUUGCUUUGUUCUUAUUUAAAUUGUGGGCCACCUCCAAUAAUAGCUCUCUCUCUCUCUCUCUCUCUCUCUCUCUCUCUCUCUCUCUCUCUCUCACACACACACACACACACACACACACACACACACACACACAUCCAACUACCUUCAUCCAGCCUUAUUCAUAGGAAAGGUAGGCCAAUUAUGAAAUGUGUCACCUCCUGUUGAUCUCUCAAUUAGAGGCUACAUUUGUGAUCUUAUAUAGAUAAUGCUAACUCUGGUCAUUUGCAGAGGAUGAGCUUGUUGGCCUAGUUUGCUAGCACUUACAGUUCUCAACAGGGUUGUUUUUCGCCUUUACAGAUCAAACCAACUGGUUAGACAAGCUAACCUAUAGAAAGUAGUCCAUUUGUAGAAAGGGAAUCAAAUCCAAAGAGAAUAUUCACAUAUACAUUUAAGGAUUCUGAACAGUAAGGCAAGCUUGUUCCACAUCUGAUCCAUUGUCUGUGUGGUAUGAUAGGAAAUUGGAAACACUAUAAAGUUUUCCUAGUUAAAUGUAAAAUGUUGUACAGAUAUAAAUCAAUAUCCCAAUAAGCUGUUUAUCAGACACUAUUGGUACAUUACAUAUUUGGUUCUGGAUAUUAAAAUCUAAUGCCCACACAACUUUGCAUUUUCAUUCAUAACUACGAUGUUUUAAGAUGUUUUAAGGAAUGCCCAACAAACCUAUAUGGUGUAAUUGUACUUUUAGUCUGGGACAAACAUUGCUACUUCCAUCUAGGUCGCUUUCAGGAUUUUUCAUAUGAAAAAAAUAUGUUUUGUAGGGAAAAUAUGGUUAUAGUUUAUGAGUGGUCAACACCAACAGAGCUAAUCAACUGUUCAGCAGGCGAAGCCUAGCUAUACCGCCAAUAGAACAUCGGCCUAUGUGUAACACAUACCACCACAUGUAAAAAUUGAGAAACAUAGGCUACAUUUGAUAGGGUAAUCCUAUAUUUAUGUGCAAAUAUUAGAGCUUCCUGACCUUAAGAGCUGUUCAGUGGUGGAACUCAGUGCCUCAAGAGUGUGGUGGAGAUGUAUUUCAGGAAUCCAUAGUUUUAUCAUGUUACAUUGAUGGGCCUGAAAAACUAUAACUUUAGGACUGUCUACAAACUCACUGUACACUAAUUGUGCUCCAUUGUCUAUGUGCCUUUUUAAGUGAUGUUAGUGCUGAAUUAACUUCUCCACCCCACGUCAGGUCUUCCUUCCAUUUCCUAGUGCUUCAGGCUGUUUGUGUGCAUUAUUUAUGUUAAUGGCUGAUAAUUGUUAAAUGUAGAGGAUGAUGAAGAAGAGAGCUACUUAUAAUGUAAAUAAACACUGUAACCAACACAUUGCAGUAUGAUAUUCAUGUUCAAAACUGCCAAACAAAACAAACCACUCUUACAUACCUCCCAACAUUUCACAGGACACUUGUGACCAAGCAAUAUCAGAGAAUGGCCAAGAUGGAAAAAGUUAUUGAGGAGGGAGAGCAUGUGAACGGUUGCAGCAGUUUGUUUUGCCCGAGUCUACCUGGAAUGGAAAGACUUCUUACUGGAUCCCUUCAACCUGCUAGGAUGCUACAACAAGGUAUUCAUUUGCAUGGUGGAAUGGGAAGAUAGAAAUGUUUCUCAUUGAAUCGUCUAUUCCUGCAACAAUAGGGCUCAGAAAUUGCACAUAAGUCUAUAGAAACCCUGUACUGUAAUUCCAAAUGUGGUAAGAUUAAUUAUUGCUUCAUUGUAUAUGUUUGCAUAGCAUCAUUCAAAACAACAAUGGCACAUUGUGAACUGUGACAUUGCACACAUAGACCAAUGUUUUACUGUUCGUUGUCUGCUUUGCAUAUUGGUCCUUUUCAGUUAAUCUUGUUUGCUAUUGCCUCAAUCAAGGAGAGAAGACUUGAUGAACAGACGAUGUUAAACCCAUUCAGGUGCUUAAUACAGUGUUCUUUUAAUGUCUAGCAUAGUACUAUCUAGUGCCUUCUAAUACUUUGAAAAUUAAUAAUUUCAUCAAUAACUCCUCAAACUGAGGAAGAUUAUAAGUACUGUUCUCCAUAAGAACAGGUUGAGUAUCUUUUAUUCAAAAUGCUUGGGUGUGGAGUUGUUUUGGAUUUUGGGGCAGGGAGGAGAGAUUUUAGAAUUUGCAUAUACAUACAUGGUAAGAGAUUUGGAGAUGAGACCCAAAUCUAAACACAACAUUAAUUUAUGUUUCAUAUAACUUUAUAAGCAUAGCCUGAAAAUAAUUUCUUCAAGACAAAAGGUUUCUCCUUCUUUUUAGCAGUACUGAAGGGUCUAUGGGAUCAGAGGUAAUCUAAGGUAUCGGGCACAACAGUUUGCACUAAAACCACAGUGAACCUUUACAUACAUAAUUUGGUGGAGUCACGAAUGUCCUGAAAUGAUCCAGAGGCAACCUGAAUUUGUGCAACUCUUUCCUUUGUGUUACACAAUUCCCAUCUUGAUUCUAUUGUUUGCCACUUAUUCAAAAACAAAUCUCAAUAGUUUGUCCUGGACAUCAUUACUAUAGCAGUGAUAGUAAUCUUGAAAGAAUGCUUUUCUUCCCAUUUAAGUGAGAUGGUACAACUGUGUAAAUAAAAAGAGGAAAGGGAAGGAAAAAAGGGAAUGUGGCAGCACCUUAUCUGGCUUUCAUUUUAGCACAAACUUUCAUGGAUACAAAUCAUUUCUUUAGAUGCAGAGUGAUAUAUAACUCCCAAAUAUAAACAAUAUUUAUAUAAUGUGGGCGUUUGAUAAUUUUUAUAGGAUCUAGAAAGAUACCAAUUUUCCAAGAGCUGCAUAAGGUGUUACAAGUAUUUCAGAUCUAUACAGCUUGUGCUGAUGUAUAAAAGCAAUGUGCUUACCCAACGUUAGUUUCCCUGGGUUUAAAACUCUUCCUGCAAAGAUUCCUUUUGAGGAUCUGUAUAGUACAACACAAAGCCAUUGUCUUUGUUCAUUCAAUUGCUAAUGGACUGGAAACAUUUCAGCUGCUUCUAUAGUGAACUGAAUACACUAUUGAAUUAAAUAUAACAUUAUGCAAAUCAGCUUUAUAAAUAAUGGUUGGUUUGAAGUUUAGCAACCCUAUGAAUGUCAUAGUGUUUUCUUAGGCAAAGCAAGAUGAUUUUGCAAGUUCCCACCCCUGAGAUAUUCUGCCUAUGAUACCAGAUAUUCGUUGGCGGUCUCCCAACCAAGUACAAACCAGAUUUGACCCUGGUUAGUUUCCAAGAUCACGUAUUUAAGCUUGAUUUGAGUUGGUAGCUGGGCACUGUGAUCGCCCAGGGCAAAACAUUAAUCUGUUGUGCAAAUUUGGCCCAGAACACAUCCAUGUCUCUCAGCAGAACUGUAAGCACAGUGCGUGGUCUCUGGGACAUUGCUUCAGUUCUUCCGUAGGAGGGCUAUAGAGAUUCCAGCUUGCAGAGUUGGAUUCCAAAUACUCCUCUUCUGAGUGAUGUUUGUCAGCUCAGCAAUGGCAAUGUAACAAAAGCUCAGUUACUCAAGGAUCAUUUCUGGACUCAUUAGUGGCACUCCUAAAUGCAUGUAUUCAUCCACAGAAUUUGUUAUAAUGAAACCUAAGGAUUGCACAUUACAUGCAGCAGUGUCUUAAGAUUAUAUACAAAUAAAGAUACCCAAUUGAAGAUGCAAGGGCUGAUUCUAAUCCUCAAGAUGAAGCUAUUUAUACCCUUACAACUCUCCUAAAUUUUUAAUAAAAUGGUCUGUUGUUCAUGAACCUAUUUAAGGUCCUAUAGGAUUCUCUGACCACAUCUAAAGCUCAAGCUGAGGUUUUAAAUCUUUUGAACUCACUGAGCUCUCUUUAAUUGUGUGUCAUUGGGAACAAAGGUUCCAAGCAUGUACAGUAGAGUCUCACUUAUCCAACAUUCUGGAUUAUCCAACACAUUUUUGUAGUCAAUGUUUUCAAUACAUUGUAAUAUUUUUGUGCUAAAUUUGUAAAUACAGUAAUUGCUACAUAGCAUUACUGCAUAUUGAACUACUUUUUCUGUCAAAUUUGUUGUAUAACAUGAUGUUUUGGUGCUGAAUUUGUAAAAUCAUAAUGUAAUGUUUAAUAGGCUUUUCCUUAAUCCCUCCUUAUUAUCCAACAUAUUCGCUUAUCCAACAUUCUGCCGGCCCGUUUAUGUUGGAUAAGUGAGACUCUACUGUAUUUCUAAUCGUAAAAAUCAUGUUUUAAAGAAAUCUCAACAGCAUUACAAUCCUUUUGUUACCAGGCUCUUUUUCACAUGAACACAUAGCUGCACUGCUGCUACAUAGCUACCCAUGGGCUUUCCUGAGACAUAUUGCUCCCAUUUGUCACCUUCAGGCAAAAUAUCCCCUUUAUUUCCUCUUUACAAGGGUAUACAUUUGGGAAUGAUAGUGAAACCCACAUAAGCUAGAUCCAACAGAGCUACAUGCAAAUCAGGUUUCAACAAUUGUAAAGAAUAAGGUCAGGAUAUACAAUGUGUUGGUGAUACUUAUAAAGCCCAAAUGGCCUGGAUCCAGGCUGCCUCCCCAUAUGAUCCUGUUUGUGUUUUAAGAUCUUUGUAGUAGGCACCUACCUCUCUUGGUCCUAUCACCUUCACACAAAUCGUUUACAUGAACAGGAGGCUUUCUCUAUGGCUGCUCUGAGGUUCUGGAACUCACUUCCUAGGGAGGUGACAAUUUAAAAAAAAGUGAAGGCCUUUUAAUUCAAGCAACCUUUUCAGAACUUAUUGUUCCACACAAAAAAAAACCCAUGCCAUAGUCCUUUUGUUCUUCGGUUUUAAAUCAUACAUGGGUUUAAUUCUGUGAACAAUUUAGUUUUAGUAUCAUCUUAACUGUAUGUUUUUAUCUGCAAUUCUUUUCUCUUUUUUUUUCACAUGAGUCCCAACUUUGGAAAAGAGAGGGCAACUAAAGAAAAUGAUAAACUAUAGCACUGGAUACAGUAUUCAAUUUCUGAGCUUAUUAAACAUUUCUAACCAUUAUGGUGAAGAAGAUACGCUUGCAAGUCAGCAGAGAAAUUGCCUUCUUGAUAUCCAGCAAUCUGGCUUCAUGUUUUAAGACUGCAACAGUCAAGAGGAACAUUCUGCAUAACUUCUUGCCUUGCAAAACCAGAGAAAAUUAUGCAAAAGACUAAUUAUUUAGAAUUAUGAAAUGUUGCAGAAUUUCUGCAAGGCAAAACGUGUAAUGUUUUGUGGAGGACCUGAAUUACUGAAUUGUAUGUUUUGCACAACAAAUCUGGCUAUAUAAAACUUCUUAAAAGCUGCCUUCUUUCAAAUGAUGUUUCUUAGGAUAAACACUUCCCUUAUUAAUAUCUCAUUGAACAAACCCAAGCACUCAACUUUGGAGGGGGGAUGUUUUUGUUUUACUUCAGCUGAGCAUGAAUUUGAAUCCUAUUCUCCAGAAUCAAAGUCCCACAGGACACUAUGCUGCUCUUGAUAUCUUUGUAUAUUUGCUAGAUUAAAAAUGGAACUUUUCAAAGAUUAUAGGAACAUUUCUUUACAAGAAAAUUAUGUGGUUCAAACAUACGCUGAACCUAACAGAGUUCAGACAGCAAAGAACAGAGGCCUUUACAAAUACGUGCGGAUAUUAUUUUUCAUAUAUUUUAAACAUGUAAAAGCACAGUCUUCAUCCUGCUCAUCAAAAAACUAUGCUUGUGUUUCAUGUUUCCUGGGGCAGGGCAGCACCCUUUUCUUGUUCUAUAUCCAUCCUAAUUCAAGUGAGAACUUAGACCUAUUAUAGACAUUAUUUUACACUUGUUAUGCACAAAUUCACUUUGAAUGGCUUUAGAUACUCAGAUUUCAAUCCUAUAAAUGCUUGCAUUUUAACUAGGAUUGUAAUUAUCCAUAAAAUGUUGAUUGCUAUGCAUUUUAGUGCUUUAUAUUACCAUCUGCACUGUCAUCUAACCAGGCGACGUGACAUUUUAAUUAGAAUGAAGGAUGACAUGCAAAUAUUUUAAACAAAGCUAUACAUACGUAUUUGAGAACAUGUCUGAUUAAACUCAGUAGAACUUCCGAGUCUAUAAAUUCAUCAUGAAGUAAUCAAGUGUAAAGUUAAAAAACUGCACAGUACAGAUGUAAUGUCCUGUCCCCCAAAUAGCUCUCCUGCAUUUGAUGUUUCAUACUUCUUGCCCAAGAAAAGGAUACCAAUUGUAAUUAAUUAUGUUUUCUCCUUACUAUCUAAAAAUAUUGUUCCUCUCCUUCAAUUGUUUUGGUGUACAUAUUUUCUAACCCAUCCGUUCCCAACCUUAUAUGAUUUCUGUCUGGCCUGUUUAUGUGCAGAAUGUACCAUAAAAACGUGAAAUUAAACUUGGAGCAGAGAGAUAUGAGAAUUGGAGGAGGAAAUACCAAUACCAUAUGACACAGUUUCAAUAGCAGAAAAUAGCAAAGUCUUGGAACAAUUACUAAGGAAAGCUAAGAAAAAAAGGAUGAAAAGACAACAAAAUAUUUACCUAAGUCAUCAUUUAAAACAGAGACUGUAGUCAAGAAAUCAGAAACACUUAAGACUUUGAUGGGCAGCUAUGAAGGAACUAGACAAAUCCUCAGAUAUGAAGAUUAUAUGACAGAAUAAUAGUCAGAAUAAUCCAUGCUGCAGUAUUUCUGAUUUCUGUAUAUGGCUGUGAAAGCUAGUGAAGAAAGCUUACAGGAAGAAAACCAACUCAUUUGAAAUGUGCUGGAACAGCUAAGGACACCAUGGACUACCAGAAAAAUAACUAAACAGGCCCAAGAAGAAAAUUUUGGGGCCUGUUUGUCAUUAGGAAACAAGGAGAGUAGAAAAAGAGGGAGAUCACAUAUGACAGAAGGACUGGUUCAGUAAAGGAAGUCAUAGCCCUCAAUUUAAAAAAUCUGAGCUGUUAACAGCCUGGCUUCUUUGACGGGGGCGCGGUUCUCACACAUUGAAGUUUACUUCACAGCAAACAAAACCACAAGCUAGUUACUACUACUAUAUUAAUCAUAAUCCAUCUUUAUCUAAAGCCAAUACUAACAAGUCAAAUUCUGACAUGUCCCAAAACAAUUGCAGGUAUGACCUCUUAAGAAAGUGUGCUACGUCAGUGAAAUUAUUAAAUCAAUAUUGCUCGAUUGUUGUAGGAGGAAAAUCAAAACACUUGUGAAAUGUGUUCAGUGCAGUUGGCCAAGGUGUUGAACAACCACCACUGAUGGGAUAAUAUUAAUUCACCCUAAUCAUGGCAGACAAAUAAGAGCAUCACGCAUGUUUAUCUACUUCUCACCUUCCACAAGGACACCGCCUCUUCAAAGCGAAUUAUGAUUUAUUAACUACCAAUAUUCAGGUGAGACUUGUUUACAAUCCUAUUCUACUCUACUUGUGGGUUGUGGCUAGCAAAAUGCUUAUAUAGAUAUGCUAAUCAUAGUUACUUCUCUAAUAGAGAAGA